rnacentral:rRNA from 1 species
UUAAACUGAAGAGUUUGAUCAUGGCUCAGAUUGAACGCUGGCGGCAGGCUUAACACAUGCAAGUCGAGCGGGGUGAGGUGCUUCGGUACUGAUCCUAGCGGCGGACGGGUGAGUAAUGCUUAGGAAUCUGCCAUUUAGUGGGGGACAACAUUCCGAAAGGAAUGCUAAUACCGCAUACGUCCUACGGGAGAAAGCAGGGGAUCUUCGGACCUUGCGCUAAAUGAUGAGCCUAAGUCGGAUUAGCUAGUUGGUGGGGUAAAGGCCUACCAAGGCGACGAUCUGUAGCGGGUCUGAGAGGAUGAUCCGCCACACUGGGACUGAGACACGGCCCAGACUCCUACGGGAGGCAGCAGUGGGGAAUAUUGGACAAUGGG